rnacentral:tRNA from 1 species
GGUUAUGGCUCAGCGGUAGAGCGCUCACCUCGCAUAUGCAAGCCCUGGGUUCGAUCCUCAGCACCA